UACUACAAGCGCUAGCUUAAAACCCAAAGGACUUGGCGGUAUCCCACACCCACCUAGAGGAGCCUGUUCUAUAACCGAUAAUCCCCGUUAAACCUCACCACCUCUUGCCAUUACCGUCUAUAUACCGCCGUCGUCAGCUCACCCUAUGAAGGACAAAAAGUAAGCAAAAUGAAUAAAACUCCAAAACGUCAGGUCGAGGUGUAGCAAACGAAGUGGAAAGAAAUGGGCUACAUUUUUUUACAAAAACAUACGAACGGUAAACUGAAAAACACCUAAAGGUGGAUUUAGCAGUAAGAAGAGAUCAGAGUACUCUUCUGAAAUUGGCCCUGGGAUAAGCACACACCGCCCGUCACUCUCCUUAAUAAAUAAUCUACUUUUCUAUAAAUAUACUUUCUUAAUAAGAGGAGGCAAGUCGUAACAUGGUAAGUGUACUGGAAAGUGCACUUGGAAUCAAAA
rnacentral:rRNA from 1 species